GACGAACGCUGGCGGCGUGCUUAACACAUGCAAGUCGAACGAGACGGUUGGAAGCUUGCUUUUAAAAGUCGAGUGGCAAACGGGUGAGUAACGCGUAGACAACCUGCCUUUGAGAUGGGGACAACAGUUCGAAAGGACUGCUAAUACCGAAUGUUGUAUAUUUUCCACAUGGAAGAUAUAUUAAAGGUGGCCUCUAUUUAUAAGCUAUCGCUCAAAGAUGGGUCUGCGUCUGAUUAGCUGGUUGGUGGGGUAACGGCCUACCAAGGCGACGAUCAGUAGCCGGUCUGAGAGGAUGAACGGCCACAUUGGGACUGAGACACGGCCCAGACUCCUACGGGAGGCAGCAGUGGGGAAUCUUCCACAAUGGACGAAAGUCUGAUGGAGCAACGCCGCGUGAGUGAAGAAGGGUUUCGGCUCGUAAAGCUCUGUUGUCGGGGACGAAUGUGCAGUAUUUGAAUAAAGUACUGUAAUGACGGUACCUGACGAGGAAGCCACGGCUAACUACGUGCCAGCAGCCGCCGCCG
rnacentral:rRNA from 1 species